rnacentral:rRNA from 1 species
AUUGAACGCUGGCGGCAUGCUUUACACAUGCAAGUCGAACGGCAGCGCGGGCUUCGGCCUGGCGGCGAGUGGCGAACGGGUGAGUAAUGCAUCGGAACGUGCCCAGUAGUGGGGGAUAGCCCGGCGAAAGCCGGAUUAAUACCGCAUACGACCUGAGGGUGAAAGCGGGGGACCGAAAGGCCUCGCGCUAUUGGAGCGGCCGAUGUCGGAUUAGCUAGUUGGUGGGGUAAAGGCUUACCAAGGCGACGAUCCGUAGCUGGUCUGAGAGGACGACCAGCCACACUGGGACUGAGACACGGCCCAGACUCCUACGGGAGGCAGCAGUGGGGAAUUUUGGACAAUGGGGGCAACCCUGAUCCAGCCAUGCCGCGUGCGAGAAGAAGGCCUUCGGGUUGUAAACCGCUUUUGUUCGGGAAGAAAUCCUCCGGGCUAAUACCCCGGGGGGAUGACGGUACCGGAAGAAUAAGCACCGGCUAACUACGUG